rnacentral:lncRNA from 1 species
AGCGCACAGACUUGACACUAUUUUAUGGCUGUCGUGGAUCCAAGAAGAAGACAUGAGCUUGGGAGCCCACUGCAUACACUGACCAUUCACUACCAUAGGCCAGACACACAUUCUCCCACCGAUGUGGGAUUUUGGUGGAGAGGAGCUUAGGCAAUGUGUUUUCAGCCUUCCCGAGAGACACUGCUCCCAAUACCUUGCUCUUGUUACUGAAGGCCAGAGCCUGGACCUUGCAGUUGUCAGCGUUUGUGUCCUCCUUGAGGAUGUGCUUUACAGCAUUAAGACUGGGAAGUUGCUGUGCUGCAUAACCAUGCAACAAUCGAGAACAGCUGGUUUCAUCCUGCAGCCUGACUUCCAGGUUCUUCAGGACCUAGGAAGAAGUGGAUUUUUGGGAGAGGCUGUGACACCAGGAAAGGGUUAUAACACGCCGGUGACGUGAUGAGCGGGCAAACCCCGGGAGACCCUUGCCAGGUGUGACUGAAUACGUGAAGAAAGUCGGGAGCAAAUGAAAGACCAGGCUUUGUGAAUUCAGUGAUACUUCCUGCACCAUAGACUCUGGAAUCUAAACCAGUUUCUCCCAUGUGGUUCAUGAAUUUCUGCAUAAAAGCUUUGAAAACAUUUCCCAAAAGUCCCCAGGAGCUUUCAUAACCACUAAUUGGCCUCUACUUUUUGGAAGUUUGGUGAUCUAGAAAGUUGGAAUGGAAACUGCCGUCCUGCUAUAAAACACCAAGGAUCCUGGGUAAAAUAGAACACUUUAAAAAUACUGUUGACCUUGCAAGACCUUGAAGAAAAUCCACAUGUUGCAAAAACAAAGAGGAAGGCAAAAUCCAGAGCAUGAAACCUACAAAUUCAGCCACAAACAGUAGCUGCCUUCAGGGAUACCAGGACCCUCCCCUGUGGGUUCUAACUCCCAAGCAAGGACCAGACCACUCAGAUACCUUGUGGACAUUUCGAAAAGGCACUCCACCCCAGUCCUUACCGGUUAAAAGGGGACUCUCAGGAAAGGGGGCCCUCCAUGCUUACUUGCCAGGGACUGUCCUCUCUGUGCUUGGAGUCUUUUCAUGACUAUUAAUAGCACUUGGUUCCCCUUCAGAAAUAUCUAGAUUAGAACGACAAAUUACAUUUCCCUCUGUUCAAAGGCUACUUAGUAAAAGGAUGGGCAAGGAAACAAAAAUAGCUUCCAGCAGCCACAGAGUCAAGGCAUGCCAUUUCCACUUUGUGUUGCACAGGGAUAAAAAAGAUUUUAAGUUAAUAAAAGCAUGCCCUCUAAAAGUUAAUAAAGAUGAGCCCUUCUUCCACAUGGGGUCAAAACACUGUAUGAGUAUCUGUCUGUAUAUAUUGUAUUUAAAAGCUGGAAAACUGAAGAGAGAAAAAUCACUCAUACUUUCUCAAUCCAAAUAAAAC